AUAAAAAUAGGUUGUCCUGCACGGGAGCCGCAGGGCCGUAGUCAGCCAUGGCGCCCAGCCGGAAUGGCAUGAUCUUUAAGCCCCACUUUCACAAGGACUGGCAGCGGCGCGUGGCCACGUGGUUCAACCAGCUGGCCCGGAAGAUCCGUAGACUCAAGACCCGGCAAGCCAAGGCGCACCGCAUCGCCCCGCACCCCGCGUCGGGGGGCGCAUCCGGCCCAUCGUGCGCUGCCCCACGGUUCGGUACCACACAAAGGUGCGCGCCGGCCGCGGCUUCAGCCUGGAGGAGCUCAGAGUGGCCGGCAUUCACAAGAAGGUGGCCAGGACCAUCGGCAUUUCUGUGGAUCCGAGGAGGCGGAAUAAGUCCACCGAGUCCCUGCAGGCCAACGUGCAGCGGCUGAAGGAGUACCGCUCCAAACUCAUCCUGUUCCCGAGGAAGCCCUCGGCCCCGCGGAAGGGCGACAGUUCUGCUGAGGAACUGAAGCUCGCCAUCCAGCUGACAGGACCGGUCAUGCCCAUCCUCAAUGUCUAUAAGAAGGAGAAAGCACGAGUCAUCACUGAGGAGGAGAAUUUCACAGCCUUCGCUAGUCUCCGCAUGGCCCGUGCCAAUGCCCGGCUCUUCGGCAUAUGAGCGAAAAGAGCCAGGGAAGCUGCAGAACAGGACGUGGAGAAGAAAAAGUGAAGCCCUCGGGGACUUGUAAUAAAUCCGCAGUCAUG